GACGGUCUGAAGCCGUGAUUUGCUAACCUUUGACUGAAGACAACAGCCCUGGAAGCAUGGCCACGUAUGGCAUCCCUGUUGUUACAAAUGAGGACACUGAGGCACGGAGAAGUGAAGUAGCCCUCCCAAGAUCCCAUGCUGCUGUCACGACUGAACUGCCUUGGUGACCACAGCGACCUGGCAUCGCUCGCUAUGUACCUGUCCUGACACAGAGGAGCGGCCCCAUAUCCCUGAGUGAAUGAACUAAUGCAGUAGACACCGUGAUAGUCCGACUCAAGGCCUGCACCUUCUGCCCUGGUGGCUGCUGUGGAGCUGUCCUCAGUGCUGAUUUCCGCCCCCU